UACGGAGGGUGCGAGCGUUGUCCGGAAUCACUGGGCGUAAAGGGCGCGUAGGCGGCGCGGAUAGUCGGCGGUGAAAGUUCGGGGCUCAACCCUGAAUCGGCCGUCGAUACUCCCGUGCUUGAGCACUGUAGAGGCAGGUGGAAUUCCCGGUGUAGCGGUGGAAUGCGUAGAGAUCGGGAAGAACAUCAGUGGCGAAGGCGGCCUGCUGGGCUGUUGCUGACGCUGAGGCGCGACAGCGUGGGGAGCAAACAGG
rnacentral:rRNA from 1 species